GUAGGGGGCGAGCGUUAUCCGGAUUCAUUGGGCGUAAAGCGCUCGUAGGCGGUCCGUUAGGUCGGGAGUCAAAUCCGGGGGCUCAACCCCCGCCCGCUCCCGAUACCGGCGGACUUGAGUUUGGUAGGGGAAGGCGGAAUUCCAAGUGUAGCGGUGGAAUGCGCAGAUAUUUGGAAGAACACCGGUGGCGAAGGCGGCCUUCUGGGCCACAACUGACGCUGAGGAGCGAAAGCUAGGGGAGCGAACAGGAUUAGAUACCCUGGUAGUCCUAGCCGUAAACGAUGGACACUAGGUGUGGGGGGACCCUCCCUCCGUGCCGCAGCUAACGCAUUAAGUGUCCCGCCUGGGGAGUACGGCCGCAAGGCUA
rnacentral:rRNA from 1 species